ensembl:lncRNA
UGUCCAUUAGUUUACAGGUGUUCAUUAGUUUACAGGUGUUCAUUAGUUUACAGGUGUUCAUUAGUUUACAAGUGUUCAUUAGUUUACAGGGGUUCCCCAGUUUACAAGUGUUCAUUAGUUUGCAAGGGUUCCCUGGUUUCCAAGUGUUCAUUAGUUUACAGGUGUUCAUAGGUUUCCAAGUGUUCACUAGUUUACAGGUGUUCAUAGGUUUACAAGUGUUCACUAGUUUACAGGUGUUCGAUAGUUUGCAAGUGUUCAUUAGUUUACAGGUGUUCAUAGGUUUAAAAGUGUCCAUUAGUUUACAGGUGUUCAUUAGUUUACAGGGGUUCCCCAGUUUACAGGUGUUCCUUAGUUUACAGGUGUUCCUUAGUUUACAGGUGUUCAGUAGUUUACAGUGGAUUCCUAGUUUACAAGUGUUCACUAAUUUACAGAUGCUCCCUAGUUUACAGGUGUUCCCUAAUUUAUAGGUGUUCCUUAGUUUACAAGUGUUCACUAAUUUACAGAUGAUCCCUAGUUUACAGGUGUUUCUUAGUUUACAAGUGUUCACUAAUUUACAGAUGAUCUUUCGUUUACAGGUGUUCACUAGUUUACAGUGUCCCUAUUGUACAUGUUCUCGAGUAUACAAGUGUCCCCUACUUUACAGGUGUUCCCUGGUUUGCAGGUGUUCUCUAGUUUAUUUGAAAUGUUCAGUGGUUUAGAGAUGUUCCUUAGUUUACAGGUGUUCUCUAGUUUACAUAGUUUACAGGUAUUCAAAAAUAUUCGGUGUCUCUAUUUUGCAGGUGUUCCCUGGUUGACAACUGUUCACUAUUCCUCAGUGUCCAUAUUUUACAAAUGUUCUCUAGUUUACAGGUCGUCCUUAGUUUACAAAUAUUUACUAGUAUUCAGUGUCACUAUUUUGCAAGUGUUGACUAGUUUACAAGUAUUCCCUCAUUUACAGAUGUUCAUUGAUUUACAGUGUCCCUGUUUUACGUGUCCCCUAGUGUUCGUUGUCCAUAUUUCACAAGUGGGCCCUAGUCUACAGGUGUUCAUUGGUUUUCAGUGUUCUUAGUUAACAAGUUUUCACUAGAUUCAGUGUCCAUAGUAUCCUUAGUUUAGGGAACACUAGUAAAAUAUGGACACUGAAUGCUAGGGUUUCCUAGUUACGUUGUUUCCUGGUUUUCAAUAACCAUAAUUUACUUGUCCUUCAAUUCCAGGUGUUUCCUAGUUGUUGAUGUCUUACCUUGCAGCAUAUGUACUUGAUCGUCAUUAAGAUUCUUUGGAUAGUUAAAGAUUCA